rnacentral:lncRNA from 1 species
GAAAGGAAGGGCUACAGUGGAUGAAGAGGCAGCUGAUCUGGACUGGAAUGAGUCCCCCCUUUCUCUUAUGCAAACUUCUGGACCAUGAACAGCUCCCUUAAAAGGACCAAGAGAGAGGGGACCCCCACCAAAGUGCUGGACUGGGUUCUUAAAGGGGCCACCUGAAGCAGGACUUUUUCCCACACUGAAGUCACCAACUGACAGCAGAAACAGGUCCCCCAUCUUUGGGAUAUCUCCCAGUUCUGUCUUUUACUUUCCUUUCAUUUUUGGAAUUGUGGCACCACUCUCUGGCAGUGGACAGGAAGAUCAGAGAAAGAGAAUGAGUUCCAGGACACCAGCGUUCAGCCAAGUCAGGCGGAUGGGUGAAGCAGGAGGGUGUCAGAGACUUGGGUGCUCCUGUCUUGGAACGGGGUAUCUAGGGAGCAGGUGGGAAGGAAUUGUAGCUCCUGGCUUCUUUAUCUGAGGCGAAGAGAAGCUCUGCUUUAGCCGUCUUUGCAGGGCACUGCUGGAUUAAUGGUUCACUUUGCUGCGUUCCAAAAAUACUUUAUUUACAAGCACUGAAAUUUGAAUUUCAUAUAAUAUUGUGUCUCAAAGUAUUCUUUUAUUUUUUUUCAACUAUUAAAAAAAGAUAGCAGGACAGAUUUGUCCCAGAGGCUAUAGUUUGCUAACCCUUGCUUUAAAUUUCCAGAGGCCAUUCUAUCCCUUUCUUCUCCUUGAAGAGGACAACUUUGUCAGGGCUCAUCAGGGUCUCAAAGGACAGAAAAGCACUCAUUUCUUCUUGCUCUUCUUGCUCUGGUUGCAUACACUUUUCCAUCAGAAGUGGUGUGUAACUGUUGCCAUCAUAGUUAUGUUAGUGUCAGCCCAUGGGUUAUUUAUUGUCUUUCUCUAAGAGAAAACAGUAGGUGACCAUCAUAUGAUGCCUAUUUCUGCUUCUAUCUUGGGCCUCCUGCCUCUCCCAGUAGAAUGUCUAAGAAAUCUUUGAUGACCAGUGCAAUCUGUGGAGGUUAUACACUUGGAGGAAGGGACAGCACACGCUGAUGGUUUGCAGUGGUGGGAAGACCAUCUGAUCCAGAGGCAGGAAGAUAAGUAAAAUGACUUCUUAGAGCCCCUUCCUGCUUUCCCAGCUCCCCUCCCCCAUCUCAAGCAUCUGAUCCCAGACCUAUUUCAGAAUCUCCUAUCUCUUUGCUCAGUGGAAGCAGUGAUAUGACAUGAUGUGAUCUCAUUUGAGGGCUAAAUAAAGCCAUUGUGUGAGACCCAGCCCUGGCCUCUCCCCUGCACCAUUUCCUGAGCUCAAGAGGCUAAGGGAAAAUGGGAGGGGGGCUAGGAGAGUUAAUCUAAUGGAAAAAGAAGCAACACGAUGAUGGGACCCCCAGUUUGAAUUUCAGACAGUGGAGGAGGGAAUAUUGCUAGGAGGGAGUUGAGGAAGCCUUGUUAAACCUCAUCUCUUUGAGGGACAGAAUAAAAAGUAUUGGCAUCAUAGCAUAGGCAGGGUUAGUGGGUGGGGAUGAGGAUGUGAGGGAGAAACUGCCAGACAGAUUCCAUUUUCACAGAGGGCAGAGACCAUGAAUGAAAUGACAGAGAUGCUGGAAAAAGGGUAGAUCUUUGAGAAGAGGUCAGACUCCAGUUGGUCUGAGCUGGAGGAAGAAGGGUGAACAGUUACACAAAGAUCUUAAGAUCUGAGGUACCUGUCAGUGGGGCCAGGGUGAGUUUCACAAAGAUCUUAAGAUCUGAGGUACCUGUCAAUGGGGCCAGGGUGACAGGACACCAUCUCUAGCAGGAACAUCCACACAGACAGAAGAAAAGCAAAGGUCUCCAGUUCACUGCACUUCCUUCAUCUUGCCAAAUUCAACCCUGCAGGCUGGGCGCAGUGGCUCACAUCUGUAAUCCCAGCACUUCGGGAAGCUGAGGCAGGAGGAUCGCCUGGGCCCAGGAGUUUGAGACCAGGCUAGGCAACAUAGUGAGACCCCAUCGCUAUAAAAAAUUUAAGACCAGGUGCAGUGGCUCCACUCACUAGACUCUGAUUCCUUGAGGAUAGGAACAAUAUCUAUUUCUCUUUGCUUGGCUUUCUGCUAUAUAAGUCCUCAGUAAAUGGAAUAAGAAGGAGACAAUGAGGAUCUCUUUAUGUACUAGAAAGGACACUGAACUGGGAUCCAGAAAACCUAAGUUCUAGCCUUGAGUCUGCAGCUAAUUCACAAUGUGACCCUGAGGUCACAAUGUGUCACAAUGUGACCCUGAGGUCACAAUGUGUAGGCACUCCUAAGUCCAGCUGACUGUGACACACUUCUAGUCCCAAGGUUUCAGAGUUCUAGAACCCUGCUCACUCUUAUUUCCUGCUGACGCAGACUGGUCUGUGUGUGUCUCCCACGAACAGAGCCGUCCCAGACGUGUUCUGAGCAGGUGGAGACAAGGUGCCCGUGAGGCCACACUGGCCUCUGCCUUUCUGCAGUUGAAUCCAGAGAACAACUGGAGGAAGAAGAGAUGGGGAAAUAAAGGAGGGGAAUGGCUCGCAUGCUGUACCCCUCCAAAGGUCAGGGGCUUUCCGGGCCCACGGCCGAAAACAAAGACGUCUUCAGAAGACAUAGUUGGGGGCCUGGCAGGGAGCUCGAGGGCCCACUGAAUACAGGAGGAGACUGCAAGCAUCGGGAUGCCCAGGCCCCAAGGAGGCCCUCUUCCUGCAGAUCCGAGAAGGACUGGACACCUUUCUGGGACUGCAGCACCAGGGUGGCUACGCCUCCCGGCUG